UACGGGGGGAGCAAGCGUUGUUCGGAUUUACUGGGCGUAAAGGGCGUGUAGGCGGGCUUUCGAGUCAGACGUGAAAUCCCUCGGCUUAACUGGGGGCCUGCGUUUGAUACUGUUAGUCUUGAGUACGGGAGAGGAAAGCGGAAUCCACAGUGUAGCGGUGAAAUGCGUAGAUAUUGUGGAGAACACCGGUGGCGAAGGCGGCUUUCUGGCCCGAUACUGACGCUGAGGCGCGAAAGCGUGGGGAG
rnacentral:rRNA from 1 species